rnacentral:rRNA from 2 species
UUGACCUCGGAUCAGGUAGGGAUACCCGCUGAACUUAAGCAUAUCAAUAAGCGGAGGAAAAA